GUGUUUUGUUUUUUUCAACGCUGAAAUGGAAGAAUUGGUAGUUUCAUAGUCUUCUCAAAAGCACACCGGAUCCCAGCGUAGCAUGAAUUCAUACUUCCAUAAUCCCAGCAUUCAGGAGGCAAAGACCAGGAGGAUAGAGAAUUCCAGAUAGAGACGUAGCAAGAAAGCAAUCAACCAGCCAUCAAAAAAACAGGUCACUGGAGGCCCCUUUGCUGAUCAGUGGGCUUUGGUGUCGGUGGAACAGGCAGCAGGGGAAGAAUGUUGAUACCUGUGGGGAACUGGAGGAAGGUCGGAUCUAGAAUGUACAAGACAAGAAGGAAGAAGAAAGGCUGUAGCUCAGGGGGAAGAAGAUACAUGCACACAAAUGCCAAUUCUCCCAUACUGGCUAACACCAUCAGCCAGCAGGAAGUUAAACUACAACCUGAGAUGAGUAGAUUGGUGGACUUAAAAGAUGUUUAAAAAAUAAGUCAUGUAUAGAUUUUCCAAGGCUGGUAAAUUUUGAGUGAUCUUACAACAAUAUGAGUUUUAGGACAUUUUAUCAGAACUAAGAAUUGAGAUCCCCCCCACCCCCACUGACCAUUUGGCCUCAGCCCAUGAGAGUCAAGGAUGUGGUGCACAACUUCCUAGCAAGAAUGGACAUAGACCUGAUAGAGUGUCUGAGUCUUUUUCUGACUUCCAACAAAAUACUGCAGACUGGAUCAUUAAAGCAACACAAAUGUAUUUUCUUGCUGUUCUAGAGCCUCUGGUGAGUUUCCCAUGAGACUUCUCUACAUGGGGCUUCUCAACAUGGUGCACUUUUUCGUCCCAUCGCACCACUAUGGGUAAAACGAGUGGAAAGAGAAUCUCUCUCCUCCUUACAACCACAUUGGCCCUAGGUUAAGCACUCACUGUUACAGGCUCACUCCACUUUAAUUACUUGUGUAAAGGCCUCUUCUUCAGGCAGGCACUGUGAGCGCUAAGGAUUUCAACACAUGAAUGUUAAGAGGCCCCAAUUCAGUUCAUAAGCAGAUGGAUUUUUUUUGGUAAGAAGUUUUUAGAGUUUACAUAUGAAGUCUCUUCGGAUCUGCUGGAUUAGAUUUCCUCCUACAUUAUGUAGCUCUGCUCCUCAAAUGUUUGUGGGUGGUGCGUAUAAAUGGUACUGAGAAUGUAGGAACCAAUACUGAUAUGGAACUGAGUAGAAAGACACAGGAAAUUUGUAAGUCUGGGGAUGGAGAACUCAAAGGCAGAGGAGCAGGCAUGCCGUAGACAGAUGUUAGCCCAGGGAACGAUUAAACCUGGAAACGUGCCAGAUGCAAACAAUCACAGAAGUUUACUGAUAACAUGUGGCAGGAUAUGAUGGAAGCAGCAAAGUGGGUGUGUGUGUUCUGUCUGAAUGCUGUGUCCCCGUAAAAUUCAUAUGUUCAAAUUCUAAUCCCUCAAACUGAUCAAGUAGUGAGAAUUCUAAAGAACUUUCAUGAGUAGAACUAAUUUACUUAUAAAGUAGACUUCUUAUGUUCUCUCUACCAACUCCGGAUGCAGAUGUCACUGUUUAUGAACAAGAAUUGACUGUCACCAGA